GGGGUUGUAGCCUAGUGGUUAGAGCGUCGGACUCACGACUUAAAGGUCGGGUGGGGGCGGGUUCGAUUCCGCCGAUCCCA
rnacentral:tRNA from 1 species